rnacentral:rRNA from 1 species
CUUCUCUUGCGAUUAUUUGAGGUAUGACCUGCCCGCUGAUUUUUUUUGAAGGGCCGCGGUAUUUUGACCGUGCAAAGGUAGCAUAAUCAUUAGUCUUUUAAUUGUGGGCUGGAAUGAAUGGUUUGACGAGACGUUAGCUGUCUCUUUUUAAUUUAUUGAAUUUGGGUUUUAGGUAAAAAUACCUAAAUGUAUUUAUGGGACGAGAAGACCCUAUAGAGUUUUAUAUUAUUGGGGAUGUGAUUAAUGUUUUGUUUGGUUGUUUUAUUUUUUGUUUUAUUUUGUUGGGGCGAUUAGGAGAUUUAAUUAACUCUUCUUUUUUUUUUCUAUUUAUUUGUAUUUUUUUGAUCCUUUAUUAUUGAUUUUAAGUUUAAAUUACC